CCUACGGGAGGCAGCAGUGGGGAAUAUUGGGCAAUGGGCGCAAGCCUGACCCAGCAACGCCGCGUGAAGGAAGAAGGCUUUCGGGUUGUAAACUUCUUUUCUGAGGGACGAAGAAAGUGACGGUACCUCAGGAAUAAGCCUCGGCUAACUACGUGCCAGCAGGAGCUGUAAUACGUAGGUCGCAAGCGUUAUCCGGAUUUAUUGGGUUUAAAGGGAGCGUAGGCCGCAUGUCAAGCGUGCUGGGAAAUGUCCGGGCUCAACCCGGGCCUUGCAGCGCGAACUGGCGUGCUUGAGUGCGCGGAAAGCAGGCGGAAUUCGUGGUGUAGCGGUGAAAUGCUUAGAUAUGACGAAGAACCCCGAUUGCGAAGGCAGCUUGCUGCAGCGGAACUGACGCUGAUGCUCGAAAGCGCGGGUAUCGAACAGGAUUAGAUACCCGAGUAGUC
rnacentral:rRNA from 1 species